rnacentral:lncRNA from 1 species
AACCGUGGCCUCCUCUGCUGCUCCAGCUCCAGCCGUGGCCUCCUUCUCAGCUCCAGCCGUGGCCUCCUCUGCUGCUCCAGCUCCAGCCGUGGCCUCCUCUGCUGCUCCAGCUCCAGCCGUGGCCUCCUUCUCAGCUCCAGUUGUGGCCUCCUCUCCUAGUCCAGCUCCAGCCGUGACCUCUUCUGCUGCUCCAGCCAUGGCCUCCUUCUCAGCUCCAGCCGUGGCCUCCUCUGCUGCUCCAGCCGUGGCCUCCUUCUCAGCUCCAGCCGUGGCCUCCUCUGCUGCUCCAGCUCCAGCUGUGGCCUCCUUCUCAGCUCCAGCCGUGGCCUCCUCUCCUACUCCAGCUCCAGCCGUGGCCUCUUCUGCUGCUCCAGCCAUGGCCUCCUUCUCAGCUCCAGCCGUGGCCUCCUCUGCUGCUCCAGCCGUGGCCUCCUUCUCAGCUCCAGCCGUGGCCUCCUCUGCUGCUCCAGCUCCAGCUGUGGCCUCCUUCUCAGCUCCAGCCGUGGCCUCCUCUCCUACUCCAGCUCCAGCCGUGGCCUCCUCUGCUGCUCCAGCUCCAGCUGUGGCCUCCUUCUCAGCUCCAGCCGUGGCCUCCUUCUCAGCUCCAGCCGUGGCCUCCUCUGCUGCUCCAGCUCCAGCUGUGGCCUCCUUCUCAGCUCCAGCCGUGGCCUCCUCUGCUGCUCCAGUUCCAGCCGUGGCCUCCUUCUCAGCUCCAGCCUUGGCCUCCUCUGCUGCUCCAGCUCCAGCCGUGGCCUCCUUCUCAGCUCCAGCUGUGGCCUCCUCUGAUGCUCCAGCUCCAGCUCCAGCUGUGGCCUUCUUCUCAGCUCCAGCCAUGGCCUCCUCUGCUGCUCCAGCUCCAGCUCCAGCCGUGGCCUCCUCUGCUGCUUCAGCUCCAGCCGUCUCCUCCUCUCCAGAAGUUUCAGUGGCAUUUUCUUUACUCAUUCGAUACACAGAUAUUUAUAUUUCAGAUGAAGAUGAGUAUGAGUAA